UACAGAGGGGGCAAGCGUUAUUCGGAAUUAUUGGGCGUAAAGGGCGCGUAGGCGGCUUUGCAAGUGGCGGGUGAAAUCCCUCGGCUUAACCGAGGAACUGCCUGCCAGACUGUGAGGCUUGAGACCGGGAGAGGUGAGUGGAAUUCCCAGUGUAGCGGUGAAAUGCGUAGAUAUUGGGAGGAACACCAGUAGCGAAGGCGACUCACUGGACCGGAACUGACGCUGAGGCGCGAAAGCGUGGGGAGCAAACAGG
rnacentral:rRNA from 1 species